AAGGCAUUGACCCGCGGACAACCGAAGCUGCGGUCAGCUUAGGCCCGGCUUUCCGGAGUAGCUGGAGGCUAAUUUAGGUGCCCGAAAUUGCGGCUGGACUCGUAAGACUGCGGAUAAAGAAGGACUUUUAAGCCUCUUAUUAGGACGAUAUUUUAAAAGCAGUGUAGUAUUUUGAUUUUCCCUGCUAGGUCUUCCCUACAAGCCUAGCCCGGUCCUUGCAUCUGUUUGGCAAGCCCCCGGCUCAUUGUUAAUACUGUUAACGGCCGCACAUCCUGAUUUUCUCUUGGCAUACUUCCUUUCAGAUUUAUUGCUUUGAAGCAUGAACAGACCUUAUGGGAAUAAUGGAUAAAUAAGACAUGUAGUUGUAGUUAGUUCAGGAUUAAAUGCCAGAAUUCAAACUUACAGCUUUGUGGAUAUCUAUAAACAUUUUAAAGAACUUAAUGACUGCUUCCUAAUCAUUUUUUUUGGAAAUCAGCCAUUCCUUAUAGCCACCCCACCGUUGCUUCCCUUCCUUCCCUGGAUCUCAAAGGGGUGGAAAUUUUGUUUCUGAGGUCUUAGGAACUUAGAAGAAAGUACUUAACAUUUAGAACCGUGGGUCUAGUUUUAUGACUAACAAUAUGAAAGGCUUUGAGUUUAGACUGGAAAAGGAAAAAGGGGUUAAAAUGCCAGCGAGGAGACUUCGUGAGGUCCUUUCUCCAAAUCAGGGAGAUAGUUUGCCAUUGGUGAAAGAUGAGUUUCCCGGUGUUCCUCCAGCAUUGCCUGCCAAUAAACGUCUUCCUGUUGGAACGAGGACUAGCUUAAACCGAACGUUAUGUGGUUCUUCGGAUUUAACUUCUAGAAAAUAUUACCAUCCUCUGUCAGAAAAUCCUACUGUAUCUAACAAAAGUGAUUUUUCUAAAAAUGUAGUGACAAACCUAUCUUCAGAGAAAACAGAAGACAGCAACAGGCAAAAAGCAAAUGACAUCUUUAUUUCUCAGUACACCUUGGGACAGAAAGAUGCUUUGAGAACUGUUUUAAAGCAAAAAGCUCAAAGCAUGCCUGUUUAUAAAGAAGUAAAAGUACAUCUUUUAGAAGACACAAGAACAGAAAAGGAUGGUGUUGCUCAGGAGACUAGAACUUCACCCAGUAGAAUCGAUUCAGCUACCACUGUGGCUGCAGCAACUGCUGCCGCCAUUGCAACAGCAGCUCCACUGAUAAAGGUUCAAAGUGAUUUGGAAGCAAAGGUUAAUUCUGUUACAGAAUUACUUAAUAAGUUACAGGAGACUGAUAAACAAUUACAGCGUGUUACAGAGCAGCAAACAAGCAUUCAAACUAAGCAAGAAAAAUUCCAUUGUCAUGACCACGAAAAGCAAAUGAAUGUGUUUAUGGAGAAGCACAUGAGGCACCUUGAAAGAUUACAGCAACAACAAAUAGACAUUCAGACUCAUUUUAUCAGUGCUGCACUCAAGACUAGUAGUUUUCAACCUGUUGGCACGUCCCCUUCCAGAGCAGUGGAAACGUAUUCUGUUAGAUCAGCAUACCCUCAUCUUGAAAGCAACAGUCUUUCUUUACAGAACACAUUUCCUUCCAAACAAGUACCUUUAAGAGAAGUUGAGGAUACAGAUUUUGAUGGGAAGAAAUCUCCUUUGGAGACACCAGCACCUCGACGGUUUGCUCCUGUACCUGUUUCAAGAGAUGAAAAAAUAUCAAAGAGGGAAGACCCUAUAGAAGAAAAAGAAAAUAUGGAACUGUCAGGUUAUAGAGGAAAUGUAAGACUGCUGGAACAAAUACUGAAUAGUAACGAUUCUUUAACAAGAAAAAGUGAAUCAUCAGACAUAACCUCACUAACCAGGUCAAAAAUGGGAUGGAAUUCUGAGAAAAGAGAGAGCACCGAGACUCUCCCUUCACAGAGAUUUCCUUCCUAUGAAGAGUUAGGAGCAGCUAAUGUAAUGACACAGAAGCAUGAUGGUGUUGUUCAUGGUCUUGGUUUAAAGAAGAAAGAAAGAAAUGGCACAUUCCAGCCAAAACAAUCUCCAAUUAUCUUGAGGCUUUCAAAUCUUCCACAGAAUUCUGUUAAGCUUCAGACAGCUGAUACAAAAUCUGUGUUGAAAGAUGCUGAGAAGAUUUUGAGAGGUGUACAAAAUAAUAAAAAAGUACUAGAAGAAAACUUGGAAGCAAUUAUUCAUGCAAAAGAUGGAGCUGCUAUGUAUUCAUUUAUCAACGCCUUAUCCAAUAGGGAGAUGUCAGAGAAAAUUAGAAUUAGAAAGAAAGUAGAUGAGUGGAUUAAAAUCAUUUCAGCAGAAAUUCAGGAAGAACUUACAAGAAAAGAUUAUGAACAAGAGAGAUUUGAUCUGAAGAGUCAAAGGACCAGGAAAGCUCAGAGUCUGAGUAGAGCUAUUAAAACCAACACACAAGACACACCUGUGAACAAAUCUAUAAUUCCAAGGCAGCAUUCUCAAAAACAAAUACAGGAGCGUUUUAGAAGUCCACCUAUAAGGAGCGUGCCUGCCUCAACUUCACAGAAAGAGAAGAAAGAGGGGCUUUUGAAAUCAACCACAGUUAAACAAGAUGAGGCUUACAUGUUACAAGUAUAUGGGAAGCCCGUUUAUCAAGGCCACCGCAGCACUCUUAAAAAAGGACCUUAUCUCAGAUUCAGUUCUCCAUCUCCUAAGAUCAGACCACAGAGACCCAAAGUGAUAGAACGAGUUAAAGGCACUAAAGUCAAGUCAGCAAGAACACAAACUGAAUUUUAUGCAGUCAAACCUAUGAAGAUGGAUUCUAAAAUUCAGCAGCCCAUUAUUACACUACCUCCUGGUGAUCAGCAAUAUUUGUUCAGCCCAAGUAGAGAAAUGCCUACUAUUUCGGGUACCCUGGAAGGUCAUCUGAUUCCUAUGGCAAUUCUUCUAGGACAAACUCAAAGUAAUAGUGAUUCCAUGCCACCAGCUGGAGUAAUUGUAAACAAGCCACACCCUGUAACUGUGACUAUGUCUAUUCCACCAUCAACUCGUAAAGUAGAAGCAGGCAUAAAGAAACCUAACAUAGCAGUUGUAGAAAUGAAGUCAGAAAAGAAGGACCCUCCUCAGCUUUCUGUACAGGUAUUACCUAGUGUGGAUAUUGACAGCAUUUCAUACAGCAGUUCUGAUGGUGGCUCCCCUUCACCUAGUCCUAAACAAGCCCCUUCUCCUCCCUUGCACACCUGGAUCCAGACUCCAGAAUUUGUGGAGGCAGAUGAAGAAGAAGUGAAGUUUCCAGGAACAAACUUUAAUGAGGUCAUUGAUGUUCAGGAAGAGGAAAAAUGUGAUGAAAUUCCUGAAUAUUCUGAACCAAUGCUGGAGUUUAACAGAAGUGUUAAACUUGUUUCUACAAAAUAUAAUGGGCCUCCAUUUCCUCCAGUUGUUUCUACUUUUCAGCCCACUACUGAGAUUUUGGAUAAAGUAAUUGAGAGAAAAGAAACAUUGGAAAAUAGCUUAAUUCAGUGGGUAGAACAAGAAAUAAUGUCAAGAAUUGUCUCUGGGCUCUUUCCACUCCAGCAUCAGGCCAGACUCAGUACUAGCAUUUCAGUGAGUGAGGCAAGUGGAUCAUCAACUUCUGACAUUGUGGCAGGAACCAGCAGUGGAGUGCUCCAGCUUUUUGUAGAUGCGGGAGUUCCUGUGAAUUCAGACCUGAUUAGCCAUUUUGUUAAUGAAGCUCUUGCUGAGACCAUUGCUGUCAUGCUGGGUGACAGAGAGGCAAAGAAGCAAGGCCCUGCUGCCCUGAGUGCUGCUGGUGAUGUCUCAGCAAGCGAGACCUACUUGUCUGCUAGAGUUUGUACUCCAGUGGCCACACCCCAGCCUACUCCUCCUGGCUCACCAUCACCUCCUGAGGAGCAUGUGCUAGUGAAAACUCCAGAUUCUUCUCCCUGUGAUUCAGCUUACGAUGUGGCUUUUCCUGUUAAAGAAGUAUGUGCUGAAAAAGGUGACAAUAUACCUACCAUUACACUUGUCAAUACGCCAACAGUUACCCCUAUUACUACACCACCUCCACCAGCAGCUCCUACCCCAACUUUGUCAGAAAUUUCCAUUGAUAAGUUGAAGUUAUCAAGCCCAGAUCUUCCCAAGCCAUGGGACAAUGGAGACCUGCCAUUGGAUGAAGAGAAUCCUAACUCUCUUCAAGAGCUUCUUCACCCAAAAGCUAUUGUGAUGUCUGUGGCUAAGGAUGAAGAAUCUGCGAGUGUUGACUUCUCUGCUCUGCCUGCACCUUCAGAGCCACUUCCUAUGGACACAAAGGCCCAGUCUCCAAUACAGAUGCCAAGUUCUGGUUCAUCAACACUGGAGAACACUUUGAGCAUCACUGUCACUGAUACAGAAACCUUAGAUAGGCCUAUCUCUGAAGGAGAGAUUUUAUUUAGCUAUGGUCAAAACUUGGCUACCAAGAUUUUAGGAAAUGGAGGAUUAUGUCUGAUGAAUGUAAAUGAUAGCUUAUCCAGCACUCUGCAUGAUGCCCUCGAAAUGGAAGAUGAUCCUCCUAGUGAAGGGCAGGUGAUUAGGAUGCCCCCCAAAAAGUUUCAUGCAGAUGCAAUUCUUUCUCUUCUUACUAAACAAGACCAGGAGCUACUCGUUUUACAGCAAACAGAGGACUUGGAUAACAGUGUGGGUGAACUUAGUGAAGGACAAAGGCCCAGGCUGACAGUGGCGGCAGAGAACAUCUUAACAGGACAGUCCGUCUGCUUGCAGCAACCUGCUGCUAGUGCUGAGUUUUUGGAUCAAGAAGGUGAUCCCAGGCUGUUAUUACAGCAGUCUGACAUAGCCUCAGGUAAUAUUUGUGAUGAUUCAUGUGCCAGUCAUGGGCCAAUGAGUUUGAGAGAGUUGGAGUUUCAGCCAAAUUCUAACCCUGUUCUUACCGCAACACAUCUGACAACAGAAAAUGAUGUUAAUUUAGCAGAAGCUGCUGAAGAUUUUUCUCAGUACCAACGAAAGCAAGAUACAGCUGUUAAACAAGUUGAACAGAAGCCAGUACAAAGUCAUUUAAUACGUAUAAGAAAUAAAUCUGAUGUUUCUUCACAAGAGUCUUUGAAAGCAUGAACUCCAAUUGCCUGCUAGAAAAAUCCAUUCACACGUCUUGUAGACAUCUGUCUUCAUCAAGGAGAUAGCUGGCCUCAUGUCUCUGCCUCUCUGUAUACCUCCACAGCCCUCAGAUAUGUUCAUGUUCUCAGUACUCUCCAUGCAGUCAGCCAGAUCUGUCAUUUCAGCACCAAGCUCAUUGCUUUGUGCUGGGCCAGUGCCACUCUUCACUUCACAGACGUCACCCACCAAGAUGUCUGUGAUGCUGCCCUCUGCGAACUUUGAGGAUUGCUCUCAGUCCCCAAGCGUCAGCAUCAUCCAGGCCGACAUGGAGUCCUCGG